GUAGGUGAACCUGCGGAAGGAUCAUUAUCAAAUGCUUUAAGAAGUCUAAACAACUUCUUACUGUUCACCCUUUGUCUUUUGCGUACUGUAUGUUUCCUCGGUGGGUUCGCCCGCCGAUAGGACAUUUAAAACCCUUUGUAGUUGCAAUCAGCGUCAGAAAAAAACUAUAAUAGUUACAACUUUCAACAACGGAUCUCUUGGUUCUGGCAUCGAUGAAGAACGCAGCAUCUGACUGACUCGACAGCUGACA
rnacentral:misc_RNA from 1 species